GACGAACGCUGGCGGCGUGCCUAACACAUGCAAGUCGAACGGACAGGCCCUGCUUUUGCUGGGUGCUCGAGUGGCGAACGGGUGUGUAACACGUGAGUAUCCUGCCCUUGACUGUGUGAUAUCUUCAGGAAACUGGGGCUAAUACCGGAUAGGAGCUCCUGCUGCAUGGUGGUGGUUGGAAAGUUUCGGCGGUUGGGGAUGUACUCGCGGCUUAUCAGCUUGUUGGUGGGGUAGUUGCUUACCAAGGCUUUGACGGCUAGCCGGCCUGGGAGGUGGACCGGCGACCUGGGGACUACGGGAGGGCGCAGACGGCAACGGGAGGCAGAGGUGGGGAGUAUUGCACAGUGGGCGGAAGCCUGAUACAGAAGUGCUCCGAGCGGGAUGACGGCCUUCGGGUGGUGAACCGCUUUCGCCUGAGACGAGGCGGGAGUGACGGUAAUGGGUAAAGAAGCACCGGCUAACUACGUG
rnacentral:rRNA from 1 species